CAGUCGCCGCGGGAAUACGGAGGGGGCUAGCGUUGUUCGGAAUUACUGGGCGUAAAGCGCACGUAGGCGGCUAUUCAAGUCAGAGGUGAAAGCCCGGGGCUCAACCCCGGAACUGCCUUUGAAACUAGAUAGCUAGAAUCACGGAGAGGUAAGUGGAAUUCCGAGUGUAGAGGUGAAAUUCGUAGAUAUUCGGAAGAACACCAGUGGCGAAGGCGGCUCACUGGUCCAUUACUGACGCUGAGGUGCGAAAGCGCGGGGAGCAAACAGGAUUAGAUACCCCAGUAGUCCCUGUCUCUUAUAC
rnacentral:rRNA from 1 species